AAACCAGCACCUCAAGUGGUCAGGAUGAUUAUUGGGCCUAAAGCAUCCGUAGCCGGCUCUGUAAGUUUUCGGAUAAAUCUGUACGCUCAACGUACAGGCUGCUGGGAAUACUGCAGAGCUAGGGAGUGGGAGAGGUAGACGGUACUCGGGAGGAAGUGGUAAAAUGCUUUGAUCUCUCGAUGACCACCUGUGGCGAAGGCGGUCUACCAGAACACGUCCGACGGUGAGGGAUGAAAGCUGGGGGAGCAAACCGGAUUAGAAACCCGAGUAGUCC
rnacentral:rRNA from 1 species